rnacentral:piRNA from 6 species
GACCUGCUUCUGGGUCGGGGUUUCGU